CAACCAUCAAGCCCCCGGCUUGUGUUGGGGCCCUGCGGCUGCCGCAGGCCCCUAAAUCCAGUGGCGGGCUCGUCGUCGUACCGAGUGCAGUAAACAUCCUCGCUCGGGGACCCCGACGGGUGCUGGCCGUGAAACCACCCCUUCUCAA
rnacentral:misc_RNA from 1 species